AGUAAUAUGUCUGAUUAUAGGUAAUAAACUGUAAAUUUAUUUAUAGAAUUUUAAAUUCUUAUUACUA
rnacentral:tRNA from 1 species